rnacentral:pre_miRNA from 1 species
GUUGUGCCAAACAGGUAUGUUCAAUGUUUGAUCGUCUAUCUUAUUUGAAAAUUUUUAUAAUUAGUAUUUUUAUUGUUAUUUGAUGAUAAAACAUGAACAGUACUUUAUGCGUGAUUAUUUUUUAUUUUUUUAUAAAUUUUUUCAAAUAAGAUGGAUGGUCUGGAUAUGAAAACCCACAAAUGCAUUUAAA